GACAGAGGGUGCAAACGUUUGUUCGGAAUUACUGGGCGUAAAGCGCGUGUAGGCGGCUAUGUAAGUCGGGCGUGAAAUCCCACGGCUCAACCGUGGAAGUGCACUCGAAACUGCAUAGCUAGAGUCCUGGAGAGGAAGGUGGAAUGCUUGGUGUAGAGGUGAAAUUCGUAGAUAUCAAGCGGAACACCGGUGGCGAAGGCGGCCUUCUGGACAGUGACUGACGCUGAGACGGCGAAAGCGUGGGGAGCAACAGG
rnacentral:rRNA from 1 species